GACGAACGCUGGCGGCGUGCCUAAUACAUGCAAGUCGAGCGAAGUUUUUCUGGUGCUUGCACUAGAAAAACUUAGCGGAGAACGGGUGAGUAAAACGUAAAGAACCUGCCUCAGAAACUGGGACAACUAUUGGAAACGAUAGCUAAUACUGGAUAACAGUAUUUAUCGCAUGCGAGAUAUUUAAAAGUUGGUAAUGCUAACACUAUGAGAUGGCUUUGCGGUGCAUUAGCUAGUUGGUGGGGGAAAGGCCCACCAAGGCGACGAUGCAUAGCCGACCUGAGAGGGUGAUCGGCCACACUGGGACUGAGACACGGCCCAGACUCCUACGGGAGGCAGCAGUAGGGAAUCUUCCGCAAUGGGCGAAAGCCUGACGGAGCAACGCCGCGUGAGUUAAGAAGGAUUUCGGUUCGUAAAGCGCUGUUGUUAGGGAAGAAUGGAUAUGUAGUAACUAUACAUGUAAGAGACGGUACCUAACCAGAAAGCCACGGCUAACUACGUG
rnacentral:rRNA from 1 species